ensembl:lncRNA
GGGAGACAGCUCCCCCUCAUCCAUCUCUGGUUCUCACCGGGAGUCUGGAUCUAACUAACUGGCUGACUGUGGCUGCCCUCUGUCUGUCCCUCUCUACAGGAUAACUACACUAUGUUCUGGAUCUACUACCCUGGUGGAUAAUAAGGCCUGUCUGGACUUCAACACCCUGGAUAUUGCAUCCAUAGUUGGUGUGUGUCUACCCAUAUGUCCGAUUUGAGGUUGAUUGGAUCUGGGGGUGAUGUGUAGAGACGGAACAGACCCUGGAUUAUAGAUGGUGUGAACCUGAGAUGAGUCAAGGAGGAACAGGAGGCAAAAUAUGAUGUUGACACAUUGCACGCGUGUGCAUGCUAGUCACCUUUUCAUGUCUGAGCUCUCACAUGAGGACCACUCAGACUUUUCGUCAGAGACAAACCAACUGUCCUUUGGUGUGAGGUAGUAGGUUGUAUAGUUUUAGGGUCACUCCCAAGCUGUCAGAUGACUAUACAACAUACUGUCUUUCCUGAAGUGGCUGUAAUAUCAUCACAGACUCGCCACAUGAAGAACCCUCGGCAAAAGCUGCAAUGAAAAUGUACCUUUCAUGCCUACAUUAUUACCAUUCUUACAAUAUUCUUACAUCAUUUUAUAUUUGAACAGGAAAUUAGGUUUCACUUCAGGUUAAUUCACAUUUUCUGGUUGGACUCCAUCUCUAACCAACUGGUCAACCGGACUGUGCCCGGUCGUGGUUCAUGGUGUUCACACAGGGUGAGGUAGUAGGUUGUGUGGUUUCAGGGUUGUGAUUUUGCCCCAUCAGGAGUUAACUGUACAACCUACUGCCUUCCCUGAAGGGCAGCAACACAACAUUACAAGCAUGGCCACAAUGGAGCUCACCGUUUACUGUGCUGUUUUUAAGUGGAGCGCAAAGUAAAGAAGGUAAGCUAUCUCAAAUCUUUGCCUUGGUACUACUGCACAACAUCUGCUUUAUAUCUUGGAAUUUGGAAAUAGGCCUAUUGUUUAUCAACCUUCAAUUUUGUAAUAAUGCAUUCUGUACUAAAAGUCAUAAUAAAAAGUGAGUAGUCUUAGUCACGUGUGUCGACUCCUUUUGGUUGGUCAAGAAUUGAAAAUAUAUAGUUAUGCAUGUUCCUAGAAAUACUGUGUGGCCAUUUUUUAUUCUGGACAUGAAGACUGAAAC